UAAAUAUUCUCAUAAUCGUUUGUUUCAUAUCAUAAAACUGCACGCGACUGGAUGUAGUUAUAAAGAGGCCACAGAGGCUCUGCAACGAACGGUGGCCAAAAGUAUUUUCACAGCAUAUAGCCUGGCAACAACUCACCGCUCGAGCAUAAAAGAAUAUUGAUCAAGCGCCCUAGCAGAUAGACGUAAAGCCUGGUGAACACAAAGACGCUAACAUCCUGCAGAAAAGUUCAACAUGGCUGACAACACCGUACGGUCGGAAGAUGUGUAAGGACAAAAGUGGGAUCGUUGCAUUACAGACACCGGUUUACUGUUAACUGUUGAGUUAUCGAUCCGGACAGAACUUAAGUGUGCACCACUGCAGUAUGAUGACAUUUAAGUUUUAUAGACUUUCAUGCAAUAGUUACUGUCACACAGCUCCGGACAUUGAAAGUGGAAGGACGGAGAACCACACAGAAACAAUAUCGGCGAAUGAUGAUGUAUAUUUGUUUUAGGUUUCGUGAAAUAGGUACUGUGAAAUAGCUCCGGACGUACAACCUUCCUGAAUUUCAAUCUAUUAAGGGGCAAUAAAUUAAUAACGCGUGCACCGCAGUAUGAUUGAACACAUUCAUAUUAAGUUGAAUGAAAUUUAAUAAAUAAUUAUUGAUAAACACCUCCGGACAUCGCCAAAAUAAUAUUCCUUCACUGUCUUAGAGGGGUAAAAAGCCAUCAUAAUGGAGGUGUCAUUUUGUCUACUUACAAGAGUUGGCGCAUUCGGAUUAAAUGCGUAUUCUACAUGCAAUAAUAAAUGCAUGCAAAAAUAAAUAUCUUUCUUGCAACAAGCGUAAAUCUACUGCAAAUCUUAGCAAAACAUUUGCAAACGUAUGUGCGUGUGUAUAGUGACGCAAUCAUACGUUUUUCCAUAGGUAAUUUGUUUCUUAAUGACAAUAUGUUUAUAUUUGAUUAAUAAAAUACCUGGAUAUUAUAUGAA